rnacentral:rRNA from 1 species
AAUACCGCUGAUGGCGACCGGCGCACGGUGAGUAACGCGUAUCCACCUAGGCCCACAGUAGGGGAGUAGCCCGGCGAAAGUCGGAUUAAUACCCUACUGUUUUCCCCUCGAGAGCAUUUGACGGGGAACGAAAGAUUCAUCGCUAUGGGAUGGGGAUGCGUCCGAUUAGCUUGACGGCGGGGUAACGGCCCACCGUGGCUUCGAUCGGUAGGGGUUCUGAGAGGAAGGUCCCCCACAUUGGAACUGAGACACGGUCCAAACUCCUACGGGAGGCAGCAGUGAGGAAUAUUGGUCAAUGGGCGUAAGCCUGAACCAAGCCAAGUAGCGUGCAGGAUGACGGCCCUACGGGUUGUAAACUGCUUUUGCCGGGGAAUAAAGUUCGGGACGCGUCCCGUUUUGUAUGUACCCGGAGAAUAAGGACCGGCUAAUUCCGUGCCAGCCGCAGC